GCCACUCAGCCCGCCUGUGGGGUGGGGGGACUCGGUAGGGCCUGGACUGGAGCUGUCCCCGCUGGAGGGUGCAGGGGAAGGGAUUCUUGGGGGAGGGACCCUUCCCUCUUGCAGAGUGCAGGAAUCGGAGGAAGAAGUGAGUGAAUGGGCGCCCCAACCAGCCUCCCGGCUUGUGUCCCUUGCCCCCUUAGCUCCCCAGACGGGAUGGGGCUGGGUGGUGGUGGUGGUGGUGGUGGUGUCUAUGGGUGCCCGGGGCUGGUGAGCGCCGGGCAUACUGGCUGUCCCCAGCAGGUGGCGCUGGCGUUCACCUUUGUUAAGUUUUUAACUUGGCUACUGCCCUGAACUUAGGUCUGUGAUUUGCGGUUCACAAUUUACAUGGCUGACUUCUGGAGUGAUCCUGAAGUUCUGUCUUCUGGGAGCCAGGAAAGGAUGGGGGUAGCUGGGGAAACAGGCUCACCCGUGGGAUUCUGGCCUUGGUGACAAGAGUUAGGCAUUGGGGCUGCUGGGGCUUACCACAGGCUGUUGAGGCCAUCCUGGGCUCCCAUCCUGGUGUGUGCUGAGGAGAGUGGGCACCCCUUACAGAGAGAGGCACUGUUGCUGGCUUGAACGGGGCACUCCAUUCACCAGCUCUUUUUGGCUUCCUCAUGUCCAUCUGGCCCAGAGAGGCAAGGAAACUUGCCCAGGGUCACACAGCAAGGAAGUGUCUAGUUUACCCCAAGAAUAGAGCUCUGUCUCCAAGCUACCUGACCAGCUGAGGUCAUCCUCAUGACUGGGAGACAGGGGUGACACCCAAAUUGAGGAAUUUUUAGGCCUGGUGAAGACAGUAGGAGGAAAAGCAUUGCAGUAUAGUAUUCCUGAGUUCUUGUCUGCUCUGCCCUUGCCAGCUGCUCUGGACUUAGGGAGAACCACAGGAGCCCUGGAGACUGGCAAGUUCCAGGCCGCAGACUUCACCUCCUCUGCAGUUGAGUGGAUAAGUAGGCUGGCCCCGUAGAGAGUCCCUGGCUGGGUUCCCAGCUUGUUUCCCACCCAUCUUUUCCAUCACCUUUCCUCAGUUUCAGGCUUUCUAACCCUGCUGGGGCUGAGACUGCAGAGCCCAGCUGGCAUGGCCCCUAGUGCUGACUCAGCCCUUUCUCUGGGUGGCUGCAUGAAGGGUGUGUGUGGCUUCUCUUGGCUCCCGCCCCUGCAGCCUUGGCUCUGUACCUUGGGAAUUUUACUUGGACAGGGAUGUGCCAUUUGGGCCUGAUAGUGGUCACAGUCCCUCAGUCUCCUUUCCUUUGGGUCACACCCUCCCACCCCUGAAUAGACCUUGGGGCUCCAAGUCUCCUUGGGAGGGUGGGGUUCAGUGCAAGGCCAGAAUUCAGGAGAGUCUGACUUCUUCCCAGCUCGGACUCCAGUCUGCUCUGUAACCUCGCGCCAAAGUCGAUUUCCCUUGGCCACAGUGUCCCUGCUGGUCAGAUUAAGGAAUGGGAUUAGAUCAUCUUUAAGGAUCUUUCCAGGCCUGCCAUUCUGCUGACUGAUGGUCCCCAAACAACAGGAAAUAGGCCCAGAGACAGCCCUGGUCAAGCACAGAGAGCCUGCAGGCUGUUCUAUCCAUGCUGUGUGUGGCUGUGAGUGGGGAUGAGUCUAGUGUGCACAGCCCAAGAUCUCAGCCUGGGGGUCCGGGCCAGCAAGUUACUGCAGACAUGGGCCAAGGAGCCGGAGGCUGCUCAGAGGCCCAGGGUCCGUGAGCCACUGUGCAAGUCUGCAGGACAGGUUUCUGGCUUGUGCCCUGUGCCCUCCAAUGCAUGGACACUCAACCACUCAGCCCGGCCCAGACCACCUGGAUGACAAAGGUCAUGCUGCUUCCUCCUAACAGAACUCAGCUCCCCAGGAGAGGUGGCAGGGCCCGAAGAGUUAGCUGGAUGGCAUGGUCCUCCACACUUGGUGUCUGUUGGCACCCUUCCCCCAACCCAAGUCAGUGAUCCCAGCUGUGAUUAUUAUGGCUUCAGUGAGCCAGGCAGCCUGCUUCCUGCUUCCUGCCCGCAAGCCUGAUCUGUGUCUCUGAGUUUCUGACUCCCAUCAGAUUUUCAUUAGCUAGGCCAGUGGGAAACAGAAAUGUCCCCAUGCAGUGCCAGUCCUCUGGGAGAAGCUCCCACCUUCUGGCCUGCACAGGCAUAAGGAAGAGCACGCUGGGCAAAGGCACUUUUCCUGUCUGGGAUCCUCCCAGGCAACCUGGCAGGAUGGAGCUAUUGUCAUCUUGUGUCAAGGAGCAGGAAGCCCAGAGAGGUUAAGCCACCAGCUGUAGGUCACAAAGCUUGUAAAUUACUCUCAGUUCUGACUCCAAAGCCUCAGCUUUUCGCACAGGAUCAGUCACAUCUAUGACAAGGAAAAAGAAGGGGGUUUUGCUCAGAUCUGUAGCUCACAAGUAAAAGGUGAGGACUGCAGUCUUGUCUAUGUGUGUCUGUCUGUCUGUUGAUCUCUAAGGGUCUGAAUUGCUUGUGGAGCAGAACCAGGAAGCCCCACAGGUAGGCAGAGAGGAUUUUGGGCAGGGUCACCUCCAGGAAGAGGGUGGCUGUGGAGAUGCUCCCCCAUCCUGGGGGGGGGGGGUGAGAGUGGCCAGG